rnacentral:lncRNA from 1 species
CUACCAAUACCAUGCCAUGGUUUCCUGAAGUUGUAUCGGAAUUGACUCCAUCAUUUGGACCUGCACCACAUUCCGGUGAAGCAUACUUUGGGGCCCAUGAAAAAUUCACAUCAAUUUCAUCGAUUGCACCUGCCUUGCAUUCCCAUAAAGUAGAUCAUUCUGAUUAUCAAAGGUAUCGAGGGCAACAGCCAAAAGGAGUCUCACCACGGUUUCCUGAAGUUGUGUCGGAAUUGAUUUCAUCCGUUGCAACUCCAUUACAUUCCCAAAAAUUAGAUUAUCAAACCAAUAAUCAGUACUCGUCAUUUGAACCUGCACUACAUUCCGGUGAAGCAUACUUUGGGCCCCAUGAAAAGUUCUCAUCAAUUUCAUUGAUUGCACCUGCCCUACAUUCCCAUAAACCAGAUCAUUCUGAUUAUCAAGGGCAACAGCCAAAAGGAAUCUCACCUCAAGAUUUAAUCUAUGAUCACCACACUCCAGCUUAUUUUCAAAGGUCUCAAGUGCAACAGCCGGUAUACCAGGCUAACGCUUAUUAUCAAGUGCAACCGCCAGAAAGGAGUAAGAAUUUUUAUCAACAAGGGAUUGAAGAUAUAAUUCAUCCCAAAUUACAGUACAGCCACCACAGGGGAAGACAAAAUAAUGAGUUUAGCUAUGCUCAUAUUGACUAUGGUAAUUAAGGCUUUGAUGAUUAUGAUGAUAAGAUAAUGAGUUUACCAUGUUAGAUCUGUUGGUUAUGCUCCAAAAUCUUAUGUUUUUUGCAAAGUCCCACAUUGGCUAUUCUUGGAACUCUCAUAGUGCAUAUUAGUACUUGUUGUUAUAGACUUAGUAACAUGGUUGAGGAAAUUGAAGGCUUGCUGUUGAAUCCUGGAGGGUGAACGCCAUGGAUAGUGAGGGUAGAAUCACUUUUUAUGACAGUAGCUUUACUACGCCUCGGCUUCUUUCAUAUAACAGCUAAGUUGUUCCAAUUUGUUCGCCUAACUGCUCUUGCUGUUGUUGCUUCGCUACUGCUAUUGCACUGCUUCUGCUAACUGUUGUUAAUUUAUCUGGUUUCUAACAAGAUCACCUCCUUAUCUAAAAAGUUUACUUAUUAAGUUGACACUCUAUCAUAUUUAUUAACCCAUCUACACUUAAAUUUAUCUUAUGUGAGAUUCAUGUGAAAUAUUCCAACAAGAUGGGUGUAUUACGAAGCAAUUAUCAAUGUUUAUGAGAUCAAGGUUGCAGCGCAGUGAGACAUAAACCCAACCCCUCCACUGAAGGCAUGCCUCAUGUGGGUGCAAACAAAUCUUGAAACUCAAUAUAAUGGUACCAAAAGUGAAAAAAAAAGAAAUAAAAGACGAUGGAUUCAUCUUGAAGUUGAUACAACUCUAAGCUUUUCCUGGGAAAAAAUCAUAGCUACUAUUAACAAUCAUGUAUAUUGGCAAUGGUCAAUGUAUAUUAUAACAUCAAAUACAGAAAGAAAAGAGCCAUAAAAGUACAUUUUGAAAAGAAAAUGAAUUAGAAGACGAAAUUAAUGACCAGUUUUAUUUAGGGGAGGGGAAGGGAAGGGAAGGGAAGGGAAGGGAAGGGAAAGAAAAGUUGGAGCCUUUCCCUUCUAAAAUUAGAAAGAAAGUUUGAACUUUCUCUUCUCUUCCCCGUCAAAUAAAACUCACAAACAGGCCGUAAAUCACCAGCAACA